UCUUGGCAAGGAGAUUUCUUGAGGCGGCGUGAACUGAGUUUGAUCAUAUUUCCGGUCUUCUUAAAUCCAUUUUCCGGCGAUGGCACGAACCAAGGGCGGCGGUCAGAGCGGUGAGAUUUGUAUGAAUGGUCAUUGUUCUUCAUCUGAAUUUUUUCGCAAUUUUAAGGAGUUUUCGGUGAAACAAUUUUUCUAGAGAUUUUUCUAGAAUGGUGGUGGAUGGUUCAACAGAAAUUGAACCAAGGGCGGCGGUCAGAGCGGUGAGAUUUGUAUGAAUGGUCAUUGUUAUUCAUCUGAAUUUUUUCGCAAUUUCAAGGAGUUUUCGGUGAAACAAUUUUUCAGAGAUUUUUCUAGAAUGGUGGUGGAUGGUUCAACAGAGAUUUUUCAGAGAUUUUUCUAGAAUGUAGGGGGCAUCUGUACUCGGUGUGGAGGACAAUACAGGUGCUGGAAGUUCGGGUGUAGCCACGGGUGAUACGGUAUGUUAUUGGCAGUAGUUUGAUGGUUUUGUUUUUUUUAAGUCCAGGAACCCGUAGUUUAUGUGGGAAUAUGUAUGAACGAUUGUGUGAAUAUUUAUGAAUGCAGUGCGAAUAUAUGGUAUUAUCUGGUUUAUGUGGUUGAUGGAGUUUUAUUUUUUAAGUCUAAUGAGAAAUUUGGUUUGUGUUACGUGUGAUUUUGAUUGAGAUAUUUAAGCAGAAGGAUUUUUUGUGUGGGAGUUUAUAGAUCUUGAUUAGGGAAGUAUCAAACUAAUUAUAUGUGUGUGUGCGAAUUAUUAUGAGUAUAGUGCGAAUAUAGUGUAUUACAUGUUAUUUUGUCUGAGUUUUAUUUUUAAGUUAAAUGAUAUAUUUGGUUUGGGUUACAUGUCAUUAUGAUUUAGAUAUUUAAGCAGAGGAGUUUAUUUUCAAUGACAUAAUGUUGGAGCUAAUAUUUCAAUUAAAAAGAACCAAGCUAAUUAUAUGUUUUUUUGGUGUUUUUUUAUUUUAUUUUGUCUUAAGCAGCAUGUUCAGGGGAUCCUUGAACCGAAUAGCGUUGACGGUGGUGGCCAAUCAAAUGUACAGGUUUGUAAUAAUAAAUUGAGUCCAAUAUAAAGAUAGUUUAGUGGUUUUCAUAAGCUAUGUGUUGUUCCAAAUGAAUUUUGCUGGCAUGUGAAUAAAGUUAAGUUAUAUGUGAAGAUUUGUGUCUGAAGCAUGACAAAGAUCCAAACUAAAUUAUAUGUGCCUUCAACAGCAUGCUCAGGGGAUAACUGCCUCAAAAAGUGUAGAUGGUGGUGGCCCAUCCAAUGUUCAGGUUUGUAAAACGAGUAGUUAAGUGUGAAUUGUGUACAAUGUGAAGAUAGUGUAAAUUGUAUACAAUGUGACAAUAGUUAAGUAGUAUGUGAAGUUUGGUGUUUUAUUAAAACGAAUUUUGUUGGCAUGUGAAUUUAGUUAAGUGGUAUGAAUUUUGUGAGCGAAUUAUAUUGGUUAUUAUACGAAUUUUAUGUGAUCAUUUGCAGAUUGGGUGCGUCAACGAUGUGAACAUGGC
rnacentral:lncRNA from 1 species